rnacentral:rRNA from 1 species
GCAGCUGAGCGGUAGAGAUCUUUCGGGAUCUUGAGAGCGGCGUACGGGUGCGGAACACGUGUGCAACCUGCCUUUAUCAGGGGGAUAGCCUUUCGAAAGGAAGAUUAAUACCCCAUAAUAUAUUAAGUGGCAUCACUUUGAUAUUGAAAACUCCGGUGGAUAGAGAUGGGCACGCGCAAGAUUAGAUAGUUGGUGAGGUAACGGCUCACCAAGUCGAUGAUCUUUAGGGGGCCUGAGAGGGUGAUCCCCCACACUGGUACUGAGACACGGACCAGACUCCUACGGGAGGCAGCAGUGAGGAAUAUUGGACAAUGGGUUAGCGCCUGAUCCAGCCAUCCCGCGUGAAGGACGACGGCCCUAUGGGUUGUAAACUUCUUUUGUACAGGGAUAAACCUAUUUACGUGUAAAAAGCUGAAGGUACUGUACGAAUAAGCACCGGCUAACUCCGUGCCAGCAGCCGCGGUAAUACGGAGGGUGCAAGCGUUAUCCGGAUUUAUUGGGUUUAAAGGGUCCGUAGGCGGAUGUGUAAGUCAGUGGUGAAAUCUCACAGCUUAACUGUGAAACUGCCAUUGAUACUGCAUGUCUUGAGUAAGGUAGAAGUGGCUGGAAUAAGUAGUGUAGCGGUGAAAUGCAUAGAUAUUACUUAGAACACCAAUUGCGAAGGCAGGUCACUAUGUCUUAACUGACGCUGAUGGACGAAAGCGUGGGGAGCGAACAGGAUUAGAUACCCUGGUAGUCCACGCCGUAAACGAUGCUAACUCGUUUUUGGGUUUUCGGAUUCAGAGACUAAGCGAAAGUGAUAAGUUAGCCACCUGGGGAGUACGUUCGCAAGAAUGAAACUCAAAGGAAUUGACGGGGGCCCGCACAAGCGGUGGAUUAUGUGGUUUAAUUCGAUGAUACGCGAGGAACCUUACCAAGGCUUAAAUGGGAAUUGAUCGGUUUAGAAAUAGACCUUCCUUCGGGCAAUUUUCAAGGUGCUGCAUGGUUGUCGUCAGCUCGUGCCGUGAGGUGUUAGGUUAAGUCCUGCAACGAGCGCAACCCCUGUUACUAGUUGCU